UUAACAUUCAGAAGGAGUUUUUCCAAGAUUGUUAUGGGCCUCCUAAUUCUACAGCCCAUGAAAGCCCAUUCAAAAAAGGAUGCAAGUUAUUUACUCCUUACAAAUAUUCAUAACUCUGUGGAUGGGAAUUGCUAUGAAAGACGACAAUUAUUCUUGCAUCGAUACAUUCCAAAAGAAUUUUGAUGCCGUAAUUUUGAAAUAAGAAGCCAUAAAUUUCGGAUAUAUUUAUUUGCAUCAAAUCAACUUGGCAAUGUAAAAUGUUUCCGAAUUCGAACUCUUUAAUUCGUUUAAAUAAAAAAGAACCAAGAUGUGAAAACGUGUACUUUGGUUAUAGAGAAACGAAAGUUGACAAGAAAACUUUUUAUCUUUAUGAGGUGAAUAAUUUAUGGACACCAUAUGCUGUGGAAGCCAACUCCAUAAUAAAUAAAUGGUUCAGCAGCAAAUGAAAGAAAUGGAAAAAAAAUCGCUCUAUGAAAGAUCUCAUAAAAGAAUAAAGACGCUUUGAGUUUCACUGGAAAAUUGUUACUGAAAAUAAUGUAAAAUAUGUAUUUAUAAAAUAUUGUCGAAG